rnacentral:rRNA from 1 species
UACAGAGGUCCCAAGCGUUGUUCGGAUUCACUGGGCGUAAAGGGUGCGCAGGUGGGUUUGCAAGUUCGAUGUGAAAGCCCCGGGCUUAACCCGGGAAUGGCAUUGGAUACUGCAGAUCUGGAGGAUCGGAGGGGGGACUGGAAUUCUUGGUGUAGCAGUGAAAUGCGCAGAUAUCAGGAGGAACACCGGUGGCGAAGGCGGUUCUCUGGGCCUUACCUGACGCUGAGGAGCGAAAGCAUGGGGAGCAAACAGG